GGGUUGUGAGGUUAAGCGACUAAGCGUACACGGUGGAUGCCCUGGCAGUCAGAGGCGAUGAAGGGCGUGCUAAUCUGCGAUAAGCGCCGGUAAGGUGAUAUGAACCGUUAUAACCGGCGAUACCCGAAUGGGGAAACCCAGUGUGAUUCGUCACACUAUCAUUAACUGAAUCCAUAGGUUAAUGAGGCGAACCGGGGGAACUGAAACAUCUAAGUACCCCGAGGAAAAGAAAUCAACCGAGAUUCCCCCAGUAGCGGCGAGCGAACGGGGAGGAGCCCAGAGCCUGAAUCAGCAUGUGUGUUAGUGGAAGCGUCUGGAAAGGCGCGCGAUACAGGGUGACAGCCCCGUACACAAAAGCGCAUGUGCUGUGAGCUCGAUGAGUAGGGCGGGACACGUGGUAUCCUGUCUGAAUAUGGGGGGACCAUCCUCCAAGGCUAAAUACUCCUGACUGACCGAUAGUGAACCAGUACCGUGAGGGAAAGGCGAAAAGAACCCCGGCGAGGGGAGUGAAAAAGAACCUGAAACCGUGUACGUACAAGCAGUGGGAGCACAGGUUUACCUGUGUGACUGCGUACCUUUUGUAUAAUGGGUCAGCGACUUAUAUUCUGUAGCAAGGUUAACCGAAUAGGGGAGCCGGAGGGAAACCGAGUCUUAACCGGGCGUUAAGUUGCAGGGUAUAGACCCGAAACCCGGUGAUCUAGCCAUGGGCAGGUUGAAGGUUGGGUAACACUAACUGGAGGACCGAACCGACUAAUGUUGAAAAAUUAGCGGAUGACCUGUGGCUGGGGGUGAAAGGCCAAUCAAACCGGGAGAUAGCUGGUUCUCCCCGAAAGCUAUUUAGGUAGCGCCUCGUGAAUUCAUCUCCGGGGGUAGAGCACUGUUUCGGCUAGGGGGCCAUCCCGGCUUACCAACCCGAUGCAAACUGCGAAUACCGGAGAAUGUUAUCACGGGAGACACACGGCGGGUGCUAACGUCCGUCGUGAAGAGGGAAACAACCCAGACCGCCAGCUAAGGUCCCAAAGUCAUGGUUAAGUGGGAAACGAUGUGGGAAGGCCCAGACAGCCAGGAUGUUGGCUUAGAAGCAGCCAUCAUUUAAAGAAAGCGUAAUAGCUCACUGGUCGAGUCGGCCUGCGCGGAAGAUGUAACGGGGCUAAACCAUGCACCGAAGCUGCGGCAGCGACACUGUGUGUUGUUGGGUAGGGGAGCGUUCUGUAAGCCUGCGAAGGUGGCCUGUGAGGGUUGCUGGAGGUAUCAGAAGUGCGAAUGCUGACAUAAGUAACGAUAAAGCGGGUGAAAAGCCCGCUCGCCGGAAGACCAAGGGUUCCUGUCCAACGUUAAUCGGGGCAGGGUGAGUCGACCCCUAAGGCGAGGCCGAAAGGCGUAGUCGAUGGGAAACGGGUUAAUAUUCCCGUACUUGGUGUUACUGCGAAGGGGGGACGGAGAAGGCUAUGUUGGCCGGGCGACGGUUGUCCCGGUUUAAGCGUGUAGGUGUGUGUUCCAGGUAAAUCCGGUUCACUUUAACACUGAGGCGUGAUGACGAGGCACUACGGUGCUGAAGCAACAAAUGCCCUGCUUCCAGGAAAAGCCUCUAAGCAUCAGGUAACAUCAAAUCGUACCCCAAACCGACACAGGUGGUCAGGUAGAGAAUACCAAGGCGCUUGAGAGAACUCGGGUGAAGGAACUAGGCAAAAUGGUGCCGUAACUUCGGGAGAAGGCACGCUGACACGUAGGUGAAGUGAUUUACUCAUGGAGCUGAAGUCAGUCGAAGAUACCAGCUGGCUGCAACUGUUUAUUAAAAACACAGCACUGUGCAAACACGAAAGUGGACGUAUACGGUGUGACGCCUGCCCGGUGCCGGAAGGUUAAUUGAUGGGGUCAGCGCAAGCGAAGCUCCUGAUCGAAGCCCCGGUAAACGGCGGCCGUAACUAUAACGGUCCUAAGGUAGCGAAAUUCCUUGUCGGGUAAGUUCCGACCUGCACGAAUGGCGUAAUGAUGGCCAGGCUGUCUCCACCCGAGACUCAGUGAAAUUGAACUCGCUGUGAAGAUGCAGUGUACCCGCGGCAAGACGGAAAGACCCCGUGAACCUUUACUAUAGCUUGACACUGAACAUUGAGCCUUGAUGUGUAGGAUAGGUGGGAGGCUUUGAAGCGUGGACGCCAGUCUGCGUGGAGCCGACCUUGAAAUACCACCCUUUAAUGUUUGAUGUUCUAACGUGGACCCGUGAUCCGGGUUGCGGACAGUGUCUGGUGGGUAGUUUGACUGGGGCGGUCUCCUCCUAAAGAGUAACGGAGGAGCACGAAGGUUGGCUAAUCCUGGUCGGACAUCAGGAGGUUAGUGCAAUGGCAUAAGCCAGCUUGACUGCGAGCGUGACGGCGCGAGCAGGUGCGAAAGCAGGUCAUAGUGAUCCGGUGGUUCUGAAUGGAAGGGCCAUCGCUCAACGGAUAAAAGGUACUCCGGGGAUAACAGGCUGAUACCGCCCAAGAGUUCAUAUCGACGGCGGUGUUUGGCACCUCGAUGUCGGCUCAUCACAUCCUGGGGCUGAAGUAGGUCCCAAGGGUAUGGCUGUUCGCCAUUUAAAGUGGUACGCGAGCUGGGUUUAGAACGUCGUGAGACAGUUCGGUCCCUAUCUGCCGUGGGGCGCUGGAGAACUGAGGGGGGCUGCUCCUAGUACGAGAGGACCGGAGUGGACGCAUCACUGGUGUUCGGGUUGUCAUGCCAAUGGCACUGCCCGGUAGCUAAAUGCGGAAGAGAUAAGUGCUGAAAGCAUCUAAGCACGAAACUUGCCCCGAGAUGAGUUCUCCCUGAGACUACGAGUCUCCUGAAGGAACGUUGAAGACGACGACGUUGAUAGGCCGGGUGUGUAAGCGCAGCGAUGCGUUGAGCUAACCGGUACUAAUGAACCGUGAGGCUUAACCUUACAACGCCGAAG
rnacentral:rRNA from 1 species